AUGGAGGUAGAGGAGCGGAAUGCUCCUGACCACCGCUGGGGGGAUGCUAACCACCCCAACGCAUGCAUUGGCUACGGCAUGCAUGUCCAAUCAAAUAGGACCGUGCGCUGCGUACCAUGGAGUGACUCGGGAAACCGGGGCAUAACUGACUUGCUGCAUGCUUUCGUGGAGUAUGAGACUCAUGAGGAUGCUGAGAAGGCAAUUCUGGAGCUGAAUGAUGAAAGGAACUGGAGAAAUGGGCUUAGAUCACGGCUGCUGAAUACUUGCAUGACAAAGGGUCCAGUAAAAGGGAAAACGGGAGGGCAUGAAGGUGAUGGAAAUGGUGAGGAAGACGUCUCCACUUCAAACCAAUCAAAUGAGAGACAGCUUGAAGGAUCCUUUCAACUGUCAGAUGUAUUGCCAGAGCACCUGUUUGAUGAGAACAACAGUGACAAGCAAGGUCCAAAGCGUGGCAAAGGUCGUGGGCGUUGCGGUAAAGGCCGAGGCCGUGGCUACAAUCAACUGAACAACAAUCAUCAUCACAUUCACAAUGCCAGCAACCAUCACCAGGUUAUCAACAGUUGUGGCAGCCAUCCAGUCGGGAUACCACCGAACACCCAGCUUAUCAUGGUCGAGCAGCUACUACCUGUGGCAAACAAACAGCCUCCUGGCCCACGUAUGCCUGAUGGCACUCGUGGUUUCGCCAUGGGCAGGGGGAAGCCAUCAUCAGCUUCUUGCACUGUCGAGCUUUAA
rnacentral:rRNA from 1 species